rnacentral:rRNA from 1 species
UACGUAGGCAGCGAGCGUUGUUCGGAGUUACUGGGCGUAAAGAGUGCGUAGGCGGUUUCGCAAGUUUGGUGUGAAAUCUCCCGGCUUAACUGGGAGGGUGCGCCGAAAACUGCGAGGCUUGAGAGUGGGAGAGGUAAGCGGAAUUCCCGGUGUAGCGGUGAAAUGCGUAGAUAUCGGGAGGAACGCCAGCGGUGUAGACGGCUUACUGGACCACGACUGACGCUGAGGCACGAAAGCGUGGGGGAGCAAACAGG